rnacentral:rRNA from 1 species
AUCAUUAAUGAAAUUUAUGACUGGAGUUGUAGCUGGCCUUUCUUUACGGCAUGUGCACGCUCCUUUCACUAAUCCACACACACCUGUGCACCUUCGCGGGGGUCUCUUCGUUAACUCGAAGAGGCUCGCGUCCCUUUACACACCCUUUGUAUGUCUUAAGAAUGUCUACUCGAUGUAAUAAAACGCAUCUAAUACAACUUUCAACAACGGAUCUCUUGGCUCUCGCAUCGAUGAAGAACGCAGCGAAAUGCGAUAAGUAAUGUGAAUUGCAGAAUUCAGUGAAUCAUCGAAUCUUUGAACGCACCUUGCGCCCUUUGGUAUUCCGAAGGGCACACCUGUUUGAGUGUCGUGAAAUUCUCAACCCUCUUCACUUUUGUGAACGUAGUGGAUUGGACUUGGAGGCUUUGCCGGGCUUCACCGCUCGGCUCCUCUCAAAUGCAUUAGUGCGUCUUGUUGCGACGUGCGCCUCGGUGUGAUAAUUAUCUACGCUGUGGUGUGCUUGCUUCUGUGGAGACGCGCUUUCUAACCGUCCGAAAGGACAGCUUUCAUCGAACUUUGACCUCGAAUCAGGUGGGACUACCCGCUGAACUUAUGCAUAUCACUAAGCGGAGGAGUCAUAGCUGUUUCCU